CCAUCAAAGCAUUCCAGCGUUUAUCUCAAAAUCUAUGUAGGGUUAAAAAAAAAAAAAAGCAAAAAAGUUUCUUUUUAUAGGAGGGAAGUUUUAAAAAGCAGAGUCAAAAGAACAGGCAAGAUCCUGGCACGUCUUUUUUUUUUUUUUUUUUUUUUUUUUUUUUCUUUCUUUCUUUUUAAUACCCAGAAUUUCCAACCACAUGGAAGUUCAGGCUCCAGCUUCCACCAAGAAAUCUUUUUCUCCUCCAGAUAUGAAGACAAAAGGAGAGGAGGCCUGGUGGUGAGCGGGAUAUCUCUGUUAGUUGUCAGCGCAGGUCCAUGGGUUAGGAAUGCUAAUGAGCCUCUUGGCCAGCUGAAGACUCGGUUCUCUCUCGCACACCCUGACGCGCACACACACUCAGGCUCAUGCAUGCCGACUGACAAGCACACAGACAGAGGCUCGUGCACGACCCUGUCUCCCUCCUUUUUCCUCUGAGUCCAGAGAUCGAUCGCUGACCCCACCGUUGGGCCAGCGCUUUAUUUAUCUAGCUGCGCAAUGAUAUUAUCAGCCUUAAACGUUAUAUACAGCAAAUGUCUUCCUAAAUCAACACAAUAGGAUAGCUUGCAGAGACCAGCCUGGUCUGUCUUAAAGAAAUCCCUCGCUAUGUCCUCUCUCUCUCUCUCCUCCCUUACCCACACCCCUUCUCCUUCCCCUCUUUACAACUGGGGAUAUUUUAUAUGCUGGACUUGGGGAUUUGACCUCUUGCUAUCAGCUUGGUGGGAGGAGGCCUUAUCAGACUGGGAGAUGGAUAGACACGUUAUCCACCCAUCACUGUGAUCACCAUCAAGGGUUCCCUUGUCAGUCGGAUCCAAAUGCCUAGACCUACUCUAUUCACAUGAUCCGGAUUUCUCAAAAUUAGGGUAGAAGAGAAGGCCAGGGUUGGCGCACCGAGUGUGCAACCUUGCACCGUGUUAAUUGUUUUCUUUCCUCUCAAUUACAUUCAUAAACCUAUUUUCUGCAUUGCAUGUUAUUUCUUUGUGCUUCAAAAUUGAAACCACGAGCAGCCUUCUCCCCUCCGCACACACAAUAAAUGCGCUGCUCCCCUCCCCCA
rnacentral:lncRNA from 1 species